GAUGAACGCUGGCGGCGUGCCUAAUACAUGCAAGUCGAGCGAACGGACGAGAAGCUUGCUUUUCUGAUGUUAGCGGCGGACGGGUGAGUAACACGUGGAUAACCUACCUAUAAGACUGGGAUAACUUCGGGAAACCGGAGCUAAUACCGGAUAAUAUUUUGAACCGCAUGGUUCAAAAGUGAAAGACGGUCUUGCUGUCACUUAUAGAUGGAUCCGCGCUGCAUUAGCUAGUUGGUAAGGUAACGGCUUACCAAGGCAACGAUGCAUAGCCGACCUGAGAGGGUGGUCGGCCACCCUGGAGCGGAGACACGGUCCAGACUCCUACGGGAGGCAGCAGUAGGGAAUCUUCCGCAAUGGGCGAAAGCCUGACGGAGCAACGCCGCGUGAGUGAUGAAGGUCUUCGGAUCGUAAAACUCUGUUAUUAGGGAAGAACAUAUGUGUAAGUAACUGUGCACAUCUUGACGGUACCUAAUCAGAAAGCCACGGCUAACUACGUG
rnacentral:rRNA from 1 species